rnacentral:sRNA from 1 species
AUGAAGCUUGGUUAGUGUUUUGGAGUCAAAUAUGACUAGAUGUCAUGUGUAUGAUUGAGUAUAAGAACUAGAACCGCAACCGUUUCCCAAAAGCUAAAGUAGUGUUUCCUUGUUAGAAGCUACAAAGCCAAAGACUCAUACGGACUUCGGCUACACCAUCAAAGUUUUGAGAAGCAAUAAGAAGCUUGGUUAGUAUUUUGGAGUCAAAUAAGACAAGAUGUUAUGUGUUUGAUUGAGUAUAAGAACUAGAACCGCAACAUCUUCCCAAAAGCUAAAGUUGUGUUUCCCUUCUAGAAGAUACAAAGCCAAAAACUCAUACGGACUUUGGCUACACCAUCAAAGCUUUAAGAAGCAACAAGAAGUUUGGUUAGUGUUUUGGAGUAAAAAACG